rnacentral:rRNA from 1 species
UACGUAGGGGGCUAGCGUUGUCCGGAUUUAUUGGGCGUAAAGAGCGUGUAGGCGGCCAGGUAGGUCUGCUGUGAAAACUCGAGGCUCAACCUCGAGACGUCGGCGGAAACCAUCUGGCUAGAGUCCGGAAGAGGAGAGUGGAAUUCCUGGUGUAGCGGUGAAAUGCGCAGAUAUCAGGAAGAACAUCGGUGGCGAAGGCGCUCUGCUGGACCAUAACUGACACUCAGGGACGAAAGCUAGGGGAGCGAAUGGG